rnacentral:lncRNA from 1 species
UAUCCUCACUUAUAAGGCCCUUGCACUGCACUAGGUUGCAUCACCAGAUGCAGUAAACAGAAGAAAGGACAGCAACUUGGAAGGGUGAAUGAACAGUCAGAGCAAGGAUUAAGAUGAUCCAAAAGGCAAUAACACCCCAAAUUACUAGUCCAGCUGAGUUUUACCUUCAGCAGACUCAGAGCAGACUGUAACUAAAAUUGCUUUUGUAGUUCCCUUACCCUGAAAACAUUCCAAAACUAACUACACAACCAGGGUAAGUUGCACACAUGGCUGGUGCGUAUAGUACACCUACUCUGAACAUCCUCCUUAGCCAAAGACAGCAUUGCAGAUGCCCUUCAAAAUCUCGAUGCAUUUCUUGCUUCUGGCGCAACAGAUGUGACAUCACCAGAAGGAAAACUCACUACAUCAUAAUGCUGAACCAAGACCUUUACUGGUUUGCUGGUCCUGAAGUUUCAUCUGAAAUGUGGUUUAUAAUGCUGUAAAAUUAUAGGUCAGAUAAACCUCACUGCAGCUCUUGGGUAUAGCUGUCCCUCUUCAUUUAAGAUAGAUGUGAGAAGUCAUUAUGCUCCUUUGCAGAAACAAGUAGCUGGAAUGACCGUAGUCUCUAAACCCCAAACACAAUUACACAUCUAUGUACAAAACAAAAGCUUGGAAAAGCCAGCUCAGAAUGUGAAUGAGUGCUUUGUCAGCCCAGUAUCAUUAUCAAAAUUCUACAGACCUGGAGUGGGUGCCCAUGAAGGAUUUGGGGCAAGGAUCCUAGGUGUGCCUAAACGCCAUGUAGGAAAAGACCCCCAAAAUAAACCAGCUUAGUAAUGAGAUGUGUACAAACUGUGAAAAGGAAGAACACGCUGAUCAUCUGUCUACCCAAUGUGGAAAUCAAUAACGGUAGUGGAAAGCGAAGGGUAAACUACAGGAUCCGAGGAGUUUGAAAAAAUGCAUUGACAUCUUCACUGCUGCAGCUUCUGCAAAGGCAUCAUUCUCUCAAAAAGCACAUUAAAAUGAAAGAAGUGUCAAGACAUAGAUGAUACGUUUGGCCUGAGGGCAAGUGCCAUCUGGCAUUCAUG